rnacentral:lncRNA from 1 species
GUUUUUACCUCUUAGUAUUCCAGAAUUUCACAAUUAAAUUACACAAAAAAAUUAUUUUUUCUAGUAACUUCCCAUGCAGAACUGUAAGCAACAACACAAUGGAAGCAUUCAAAUUCAUAUAUUAAUUUUAAGUAAGUAAGUAAUUAAGUAAUUAAUUUUACAAAUUAUUCCUCAAGUCAGUAUACAGGGUGUUUCAGAACUAUGGGAUCAAACUUCUGGGGGUUGUUCAGUGCAACAGAAGAAUCCAUUUGAGUAUAGGAACGCAUGUCCGGAAAUGCGUCACUAUGCCACUACGGCCCUAAGACGCGUUAAAAUUUAAAAAAAAACAUUCAUUACCUAAAUAGGAUCUGCUGCAUUUAUUUUUACCUUUUGUACAUGAUACCAUAACAACAAUUGUUUAAAAUCAACGCUUAUCAAUGUCAAUUCCCAAUGUCAUGUUUAAAAAUUUUAUAGCUUACAAUUUUUAAACAUUUAUUGCUAAUGGAAAACUUUACCAAUCAAGAAUUGGCGGAUAUGCAUUUGGCAUACGGAGCAACAAACUGCAAUGCACGAGCAGCAUCGCGGUUGUAUCAUGAACGUUAUCCCGAACGACAGCAUCCUGGAUACAAAAAAUUUAUUGCGGUUCAUCGGCGGCUCGCUGAGACAGGCAUGUUUAAGACCAAGAUGCAUGAUACUUGUGUUGCUCGAACCGUAAGAACGGUCGAAUUUGAAGAAGAGGUGCUUCAGCGAGUUGCCGAUGAACCAUCAAAUAGCACACGUGACGUCGCUAAGAAUAUGAAUACGAGUAACGCUUCUGUCUGGCGGGUACUACACGAGCAACAACUCCAUCCUUACCACUUUCAGAAAGGUAUGACUGCAGCCGAUUAUCAUCCUAGAGUUCAAUUUUGUCGAUGGCUUCUGGAUCAUUGCACAACCAAUUUUUUAUGAUAUGUUUUGUGGACCGAUGAAGCCUCUUUCACAAGAGACGGUAUUUUUAAUAGUAGGAAUAGCCAUGUUUGGGACAAAAAAAAUCCUUAUGCAAUUUUUCCAAGAAAACAUCAGAAUCGUUGGUCUGUCAACGAAUGGGCAGGCAUUAUUUGAUGAUGAAUUGGGCCAUACCUUCUAUCGGAAUGGUUAACAGGACCUAUUUAUCUGCCCCCGAAAGUUUUCCCAGAACUCCUUGAAAAUAUUCCACUAAACGUUAGACAGCAAAUGUGGUUUCAGCAUGAUGGAGCGCGGGCUCACUUUGCUGUAAAAGUACGCGAGUAUUUGGCUCAGCGGUUUGGGCACCAUUGGAUUGCCAGAGGGACAUGUAAAGUCUUUAGUCUACGAAACUCCAGUAGAAUCAGAGCUAGACUUAAUUGGAAGAAUAACAGCAGCAUUUGAAAUCAUCCAAAACGAGGAUCAAAUUUUUAGUGUAGUCCGCCGAAAUCAUGUGCGGCGUUUAAAUUGGUGUAUUCAGGUUGGAGGAAGACAUUUUGAACAAUUGUUGUGAUGGUAUCAUAUACAAAAGGGCCGUAGUGGCGUAGUGACACAUUUCCGGACAUGGGUUCCUAUACUCAAAUGGAUUCUACUGUUGCACUGAACAACCCCUAGAAGUUUGAUCCCAUAGUUCUGAAACACUGUGUAUAAUACAUAAAAUCAAGCAUAAAAGUCAGUAAAACCAGUUUUUAUUAACACACAACAUAAAAUUGAAAUACAACAUUUAAAAUUUAUGCAUAUAAAAUUUAUUCACAAAAUAAACUUCACUAAAUUAAAUGUUUAGAUAUAAGUUAAAUCUUAAACCUAAAAUAGUCCUAUAGUCAGUCCUGAGCAAAAAGUUUCUGACUCUUGAGCCAUAACAUGGAAAGGCUAGAUCCCUAAUUUACACAGGUAGUUUGUUAUAAAACUUUAUUUCUCCUGAAUUCAAGAGAUUCCAUGAAGAAUUGAGUUAAAAGGAGAUUGUAAGGAAUAUAUUUUGGAGGGUAAAAACAACUUAAACAAUAGAUACUUAAAAGGCUUAAAGUAUUAAGAAAAUUAUUUCUGACUGAUGGCGGUUUGGCAAAGUACCAUUUUGGAAUGACUUGUUAAUUAAAUUAGGUGGUUUAAUGCCCAGUCUGGUAGAGUCACAAACAUUUUCAGAGUAAUCCCAUCCAUCCCAGACAAGAAAUUGUUCUUAAUGUCUACAAUUGUACUUUUAAGCUUCAUUGUUACUACAAAAAAUUAGGUAAAAACUGUGUAUAUUUUAAUUUAUUAAAGUAAAUUGAUUUAAGUUUCUAAAGAUAUUUACAAAGUAAUUAUUUAGGCUCUCAGGUGAUGCAAAGAUUGUGCUAGAAUAAGCUUUAUCUUUGAAAUUAUUUACAAUAAAUUAUGGUUUUUUAGGAUCAUUUGGGAUGCAACCAUUAUCUCCUAUUAUAAUAAAUAGCCUUGGCAGCUUUUAGAGUCCUAUAAAAUACUCUUUGAUAAAUCUUUUCAACAUUGCCAAGGGAUUAACUACAGAAAGGAAACUGAGCAGAAACUUAUAUUAUUUUAAAAUUCAACAUUGUAGUCAUCUUUAAAAAAAUUCUUGUAUUUGUUAGCUGUACUUUUUUACCACUGAAUACUGAAUACAAUUUAAAGUAAUCCACAAUACCAACCUUUAUACAAAUUCUCCCAUUUAAACUUUAAACAGGAAAUGAGGUAGAUCUUUAAAAAUAUGAAUUACAAUAAAUACUAGCAUGUUGAUGAGAUGGCAGAACAAAAAAUAUAAUCAAAACAAGAUUUUUCAGGACUUCAGAUGAGGACCAGCCAAAAUUGUUUGGGAUCAAGAUUAUUUUGGGUUAAAUUAAUUUUUGUCUUUAUUCUCAUAUAUAACACUAACAGAUGUUGAAAAUAAAUAAAGAAAUAGUUUGAACAUUAACGCUAGUUAGAAAUAUGAGAUCUUUUUACCUUUCCAUCGUGGAUCUUUCUCCCUUGGAUGUAUGGUAUAGUGAGUGGUGAUUUUUGGAAAUUGGUCCGAGUAACAUCUCUUAAUGUAUUUAAACUGGUUAGCUAGAAGUAAAUAUGUAUUAAUGAGGACAUUAAAGGCCUUCAACAAAUCCAUAUUAAGGAUUAUGUAAAGAAAGAUUUUGAUAAACUAAAACUUUAAUAUAAUACCAAAUGUCUCUGCUAACUUUUCUGUUAAACAUAUUCAAUUUUUAAUUAAUCCAGGUUUGAUAAAAAAAAUUAAAAGAUUUUAUAUGUAACAUACCAAUUUUUAUAGAAUUUCCAAAAUAUAAACUCAUUUUUGUCUUAUGAUUGUAACAAUAUAAUACCCGAAACCAAAGUACACAAAACUAGAACAUAUUUUUUAGAAAUAAAUGAUUUAAGGAGUCAAAGUCCAAAAGGUUUAAUAACUAAGAAAAUAAAAACAAAAUAAAAAUAAA